CGGGACAUAGCUCAGCCUGGUAGAGCACCUGCUUUGGGAGCAGGGGGUCGCGAGUUCGAAUCCCGCUGUCCCGACCA
rnacentral:tRNA from 1 species